ensembl:snoRNA
AUCCUUUCGUAGUUCAUAACAUAAUGACGGGUUUUCACGCAGUUGCGUGAGAUGUGCCACCCAUAAACCUUGUUACAACAUCAGCACAUUAUCAGUCUGACA